rnacentral:rRNA from 1 species
UACGAAGGGGGCUAGCGUUGCUCGGAAUCACUGGGCGUAAAGCGCACGUAGGCGGAUUUCUAAGUCAGGGGUGAAAUCCUGGAGCUCAACUCCAGAACUGCCUUUGAUACUGGGAGUCUCGAGUCCGGGAGAGGUGAGUGGAACUGCGAGUGUAGAGGUGAAAUUCGUAGAUAUUCGCAAGAACACCAGUGGCGAAGGCGGCUCACUGGCCCGGUACUGACGCUGAGGUGCGAAAGCGUGGGGAGCAAACAGG